rnacentral:rRNA from 1 species
UACGUAGGGGGCAAGCGUUGUCCGGAAUUAUUGGGCGUAAAGAGCGCGUAGGCGGUGCGGUAAGUCACUUGUGAAAUCUCCUGGCUCAACUGCGAGCUUGCGGUCGAUACGGGCAGGCUAGAGUUCGGUAGGGGAGACUGGAAUUCCUGGUGUAGCGGUGAAAUGCGCAGAUAUCAGGAGGAACACCGGUGGCGAAGGCGGGUCUCUGGGCCGAUACUGACGCUGAGGAGCGAAAGCGUGGGGAGCGAACAGG